rnacentral:lncRNA from 1 species
GGCCGGGACCCCCAAACCCGGGGCGGGAGCCGGGGUCCGUGUGGGGUUUGGGGGUGCUGGCGGUGGGGCAAUGCUGCCGCCUCGCCCGCGGUUGCGCCGCCGCCGAGGGCAGGAAGCGGCGAGCGAAGGCGCUGCACCGCGGGGCCAGGAGGGGCCGACGUCACGGAAAGGCGGCGUGGGGCUGCGGGUGGCACCGGCGCCGGCGGGGGCACUUGGGGGGGGGGGGGGCCUCCCCGCCCCCCCCCCUCUCUGCCCCGAGCACCUUCGGGUGCCGGUUCCCUGCUGCGAAAGCCUUGAGGGGUCCCCAGGGGGGCGCGGGUUGCGCCCGGUGGUGGCCGUGCCGAUGGGGGCAAGCUGCAGCCCCUUGGCCGCCCACCCCGCAGCGCGUCUGCACCCCCAAAAAUCUCUUUAUUCGUCCCAGCUCUGCCUUGUUUUCUCCCCGCAGGGCUCUGCCCUGCAGCUGGGCAGGGCUUUGGGGCUGGAGCUGGCUUCCAGCCCUCGCACCAGGGCUUUGCGCAGAGCCCACGGCGCGACCCCAGCCCCACGGCCGCGGUGGGGGGGCGCGAUGCCCCCCGGCGCUCUCCACCUUAAGAAAGCCGUCCCUCCUCUCUCUACCUUCACACCCUCGGCUCAGUUUCCCCUCCGGGCAGUUGGGUUACAAUAUUUUUAUCGGCCGGGCAGGUUUCCUGUUUGCAAUCCUCGCGCUCACGGGUGCGGACGGAGCGACCGCGGCGCUGGGUGCCCGGCACCGGCCCCGAUCCUGCCGGCUCCCGGCCACCCCUCGAGGGGCCGAGGCGCGGAAACGCCGAGCGCUGUGACCCUACAAGGCCUCUCCCAGCUCCUCUCCGCAGCUGGCCGGGCGGGGACAGCGUGGGGGGGUUCCUCCAGGGACCGUGGGAGCAGAGGCGCGCGGAGCUUUGCGCUUCCUGCUGCUUUUCCUCAGCCUCUCCCCAGCGGCAGCCGGAUUCCGGGAAAAAAAAGGGGAUUUGGGGGAAAAAAAAAUCCCCCGCACGGUUGGGUUGCAGGAGGAAGGCUGGAGCUGCGCAGGGAGGUGGUGAGGAGCACAGCGUGGUCUCGUCCCACGGGGGGACGUCGCCCCCGGAGCUGGGCAGAGUGAUGGCUGAGGACGGGGGGGCCGGGGGGGCGGCCUCCAACAGCACCCAGCAGGAUGAAUCCUCAGCAGCACUCGCCCUGCACCCGG